GAAUGCUGACAUAAGUAACGAUAAAGCGGGUGAAAAGCCCGCUCGCCGGAAGACCAAGGGUUCCUGUCCAACGUUAAUCGGGGCAGGGUGAGUCGACCCCUAAGGCGAGGCCGAAAGGCGUAGUCGAUGGGAAACGGGUUAAUAUUCCCGUACUUGGUGUUACUGCGAAGGGGGGACGGAGAAGGCUAUGUUGGCCGGGCGACGGUUGUCCCGGUUUAAGCGUGUAGGCUGGUUUUCCAGGCAAAUCCGGAAAAUCAAGGCUGAGGCGUGACGACGAGGCACCACGGUGCUGAAGCAACAAAUGCCCUGCUUCCAGGAAAA
rnacentral:rRNA from 1 species